GGAGCGUUAGCUCAGUGGUAGAGCAAUCGACUGCAGAUCGAUAGGUCCAUGGUUCAACUCCGUGACGCUCCU
rnacentral:tRNA from 2 species